AUGUUCACACUGCAGAUUAAUGACGCAGAAACUGGAUUUCAGGCUAAAAUGCAAAACACAAGUGCAGCAGGACAGCGAGGAUUCAUGGAAGAAAUUGGUUUUAUAAUGAGGAGAACAAGAAGCUACUCUCUGACAUGUAAGUGUCUGUGGUUUUGUCAGGUCAUGUAGAGCCGUCGCAGUCAUUAUUAACACUCAGCAGGAUUCUGCUACGAUUUCACUUCACACAAUCAUAUCUCAAACAUAACUCGCUGUCCGUUUCAAGACUUUUUAAAGGGGUCAUCGGAUGCUACAUACACUUUUACAAGCUGUUUGAACUGAAAUGUGUGUUGGCAGUGUGUGUACACAACCACCCUAUAAUGAUAAAAACCACCCAGUGUUUUUUUUAAUGUACUAAAAUCUUUACCCAUUUCUCAAAUCGAGCAGAUCUAAGAUUCCUAUCUGUGUGACGUCACAAAAACAAGCCCCUUGCAAAUCUUAAUAAUAAGCCUUUCCUAAUAGCGUGCUAAUUAGCAAGUUUCACGAUGAAUGUGGCUAAAGUAAACAGUCCCUCAGAGAUGCUCGGAAGAACAUAAAUUAACAUUUAACGGAAAAUGCUACAAAACGGCUUGCCCUGAGAAGAGUUGUGUUUUACAGGGUAAAAAAGUGUUUUUUACACUACCAUUGAGAAAUUUUAACCAAACUAUGUUACAGACUUUUCAUUAAGACCCUAAAGAAUCAUAUCAACUUGUGUACAACUUGUGUAAAAUAGGCUUUUAAUGACCCCUUCAACACAUUUACCCAAAGUUACAGCGCUUGCCUCUAGGACUGAAAUGUCAUCCUCCCGAAGCAAGGAUGCUAAAUCUUUUGAUCCAUCGUGCAGGAAAUUAAACGUUUCCCGAAUGUCACGCGUUCUACACGGCGUCGACUGAAAAAACCACAUGCAAACAAAUGUUUUUCUGGAAGCAGUGGUGAAUACAGAUGCUGGACGCUCGCAGCAGCUAAACACACUGACACUUCUGUCUCGAGGGUUGCUCCCUGGAGGUUCUUCAGGGGUACGAUCGGUGACAGUCGGUGCGCGCACGCGUGUUAAUUACUGCUGAUCUCGUCUGCUGGAGGUGUCGCGCUUCAUUAGGCCGCCUUGGCCCUUUCCUUGCCAGGCCUCAUUUGGCCCAUCCUUUGCUGAGGGGUCUAACCCUGGCAGCCAGCGCGGCCCGGCCCUCCCUGCUUGAUCUCUACCCCCGGCUCGCUCCUUCAGGAGGGCUCACUCUUUCACGCCCCCACCUUGCCUGCUGCCUGUCCUCCUAAUCCCAGCUGAGCUCAUUAUGAUGUAGCCUGGCUGCCUCCCUCUCUCUCUUUGAGCCUGAGCUGUCCAAGCUAAUUACAGGCUAGCAGCCAACGCUCCCCGUUAAGGGCCUUCUGCCGCCGCGCUCGCGCUCACGCGCUGCUUGGAAGUGACCUGCGAGGAGCACGAGGGAGCUGCUCUCUUUCCAGCCACGCAGCACCUGUCCUUCGGGUUAGCCGUGAUCCCUGUCAUGCCCGAUCCAGCGAGCACAGAGCAAACUUAGGCCGGCCUAACUCGUGCUUUCCGGAGCGGGAAGGAAAAAAAGCCCUACAAUGUUGAGGUGGAAGGGGAGCAUUGUCUUUGAUCUCCACUUGCCCGAGACGAGUGUUACAGACGGUGUGAUUGUGCAAGCACGGGGUUCUUCUUAACCUCACUUUAUUCAUUGUUUGCGCUGAGAGGAAUGGGUCGGGAUGUGCGAGCUGUAAUUAGGCCGCUCUUGUUUAUCAAGCUGUUAUGUGGGACAGCGAGCUAAAUUACGGUUGAUGGCCGACAAUUAAGGACGGGAUGGCAGGUUGCCGUUUUACUGACCGUAUUAGGAUGAUUGUGCUGGUGAAGGUUGCACUCAUAAGCGUGCCGAUGAUCUGCUAAUGCUUAAUUACCUGAUUGCGGCCUGUAGUUUCAGGCUGUCUUAAUUGCCGGCGGAGACAGCGGUGGGCUGCUUCUGGCUUUUCUUGCUCGCUCGUUUCCUUCAAGUGCUUCUCACAGUCAGGAGGUCUCCGGUCCUGCACCCUUUCCAGCGGAUCUAGAGUCUUUUUUUAGGCAUCUCUGUUAUGUGGGUCAGUGACUUUACAGAGGAAAGGACAAAUCUCUUAAAGUGUAGUUGAAAACAUGUGGCGAGUUCUUAUACAUCUACU
rnacentral:lncRNA from 1 species